AGAAUGAACGCUGGCGGCAUGCCUAACACAUGCAAGUCGAACGAGACCUUCGGGUCUAGUGGCGCACGGGUGCGUAACGCGUGGGAAUCUGCCCUUAGGUACGGAAUAACUCAGGGAAACUUGUGCUAAUACCGUAUGAUGUCGAGAGACCAAAGAUUUAUCGCCUAGGGAUGAGCCCGCGUAGGAUUAGCUAGUUGGUGGGGUAAAGGCCUACCAAGGCUACGAUCCUUAGCUGGUCUGAGAGGAUGAUCAGCCACACUGGGACUGAGACACGGCCCAGACUCCUACGGGAGGCAGCAGUGGGGAAUAUUGGACAAUGGGCGAAAGCCUGAUCCAGCAAUGCCGCGUGAGUGAAGAAGGCCUUCGGGUUGUAAAGCUCUUUUACCGGGAAGAUAAUGACUGUACGGGAGAAUAAGCCCCGGCUAACUCCGUGCCAGCACGCCGC
rnacentral:rRNA from 1 species